rnacentral:rRNA from 1 species
AGCAGCCGCGGUAAUUCCAGCUCCAAUAGCGUAUAUUAAAGUUGUUGCGGUUAAAAAGCUCGUAGUUGAAUUUCGGGAUUAGUAAGUUGGUCGUGCCUCUGGUAUGUACUGGCUUUACUGGUUCCUCCUUCUUGAAGAACUGUAAUGUCAUUAAUUUGGUGUUGCAGGGAAACAGGACUGUUACUUUGAAAAAAUUAGAGUGUUUAAAGCAGGCUAACGCUUGAAUACAUUAGCAUGGAAUAAUGAAAUAGGACGUUUGAUCCUAUUUUGUUGGUUUCUAGGAUUGACGUAAUGAUUAAUAGGGAUAGUUGGGGGCAUUAGUAUUCAAUUGUCAGAGGUGAAAUUCUUGGAUUUAUUGAAGACUAACUACUGCGAAAGCAUUUGCCAAGGAUGUUUUCAUUAAUCAAGAACGAAAGUUAGGGGAUCGAAGACGAUCAGAUACCGUCGUAGUCUUAACCAUAAACUAUGCCGACUAGGGAUCGGAUGAUGUUAAUUUUUUAAUGACUCAUUCGGCGCCUUA